rnacentral:rRNA from 1 species
AGAGUUUGAUCCUGGCUCAGGAUGAACGCUAGCGGCAGGCUUAACACAUGCAAGUCGAGGGGCGUCGCGGUUCCGGCAACGGGACCGGCGGCGACCGGCAUACGGGUGCGUAACGCGUGAGCGACAUUCCCGGGACCGGGGUAUAACCGACGGAAACGUCGCCUAAUCCCCCGUAACACCAUCGGGCGCAUGCCCUUUGGUUGAAAGCUCCGGCGGUCCCGGAUUGGCUCGCGUCCCAUUAGGCGGAUGGCGGGGUAACGGCCCACCAUACCUACGAUGGGUAGGGGUUCUGAGAGGAAGGUCCCCCACAAUGGAACUGAGACACGGUCCAUACUCCUACGGGAGGCAGCAGUGAGGAAUAUUGGUCAAUGGGCGGAAGCCUGAACCAGCCAUGCCGCGUGCGGGACGACGGCCCUACGGGUUGUAAACCGCUUUUGCAGGGGAGCAAUAAGGGGGUUUCGUACCCCCGACGAGCGUACCCUGCGAAUCAGCACCGGCUAACUCCGUGCCAGCAGCCGCGGUAAUACGGAGGGUGCGAGCGUUAUCCGGAUUUAUUGGGUUUAAAGGGUGCGUAGGCUGUGCGUCAAGUCAGGGGUGAAAUUCCGUCGCUCAACGUCGGUUGUGCCCUUGAUACUGGCGUGCUGGAGUACGGAUGCCGCCGGAGGAAUGAGUGGUGUAGCGGUGAAAUGCAUAGAUAUCACUCAGAACACCGAUUGCGAAGGCAUCUGGCGAAUCCGUCACUGACGCUGAUGCACGAAAGCGUGGGGAUAAAACAGGAUUAGAUACCCUGGUAUUCCACGCCGUAAACGAUGAUGACUAGCCGCCGGCGACACGCUGUCGGUGGCCCAGCGAAAGCGGUAAGUCAUCCACCUGGGGAGUACGGCCGCAAGGCUGAAACUCAA